GUGGGGAAUAUUGGACAAUGGGCGAAAGCCUGAUCCAGCCAUGCCGCGUGUGUGAAGAAGGUCUUCGGAUUGUAAAGCACUUUAAGUUGGGAGGAAGGGCAGUAAGUUAAUACCUUGCUGUUUUGACGUUACCGACAGAAUAAGCACCGGCUAACUUCGUGCCAGCAGCCGCGGUAAUACGAAGGGUGCAAGCGUUAAUCGGAAUUACUGGGCGUAAAGCGCGCGUAGGUGGUUCAGCAAGUUGGAGGUGAAAUCCCCGGGCUCAACCUGGGAACUGCCUCCAAAACUACUGGGCUAGAGUACGGUAGAGGGUAGUGGAAUGUCCUGUGUAGCGGUGAAAUGCGUAGAUAUAGGAAGGAACACCAGUGGCGAAGGCGACUACCUGGACUGAUACUGACACUGAGGUGCGAAAGCGUGGGGAGCAAACAGGAUUAGAUACCCGGGUAGUCC
rnacentral:rRNA from 1 species